rnacentral:rRNA from 1 species
CCUACGGGAGGCAGCAGUGGGGAAUAUUGCACAAUGGGGGAAACCCUGAUGCAGCGACGCCGCGUGAGUGAAGAAGUAAUUCGUUAUGUAAAGCUCUAUCAGCAGGGAAGAAAAUGACGGUACCUGAGUAAGAAGCCCCGGCUAACUACGUGCCAGCAGCCGCGGUAAUACGUAGGGGGCAAGCGUUAUCCGGAUUUACUGGGUGUAAAGGGAGCGUAGGCGGCAUGGCAAGUCUGGAGUGAAAGGCGGGGGCCCAACCCCCGGACUGCACGGGAAACUGUACGGCUGGAGUGCAGGAGAGGUAAGUGGAAUUCCUGGUGUAGCGGUGAAAUGCGUAGAUAUUAGGAGGAACACCAGUGGCGAAGGCGGCUUACUGGACUGUAACUGACGUUGAGGCACGAAAGCGGGGGGAGCAAACAGGAUUAGAUACCCGUGUAGUC